rnacentral:lncRNA from 1 species
UUUUAUUUAUAAAAGUUCUACUAACAAAAUCUCUAUUUAAAUAAAUUUUACUUGAAAAAGUAUACCAACCCGUCUUAGUAAAUGAUUCUUAACGUGAUAGUCACCUAACAUAAAAUAUAUAUAAGAGACAUCUCAAGUACAAUGUGAAAUUAUAAUGCAAAAUUUUUAGCCAACUAUUUAUUUAUAACAUUACUCUAAUUUUUUUAAAACUCGACAGCACAAGGGAAUUUUAUUAAUAAAAUAAAAAAGAUAUUACUUACAUCUUGUAUUCAUAUAAUAUAGCAACAGUCACAUUACUGAUGGAAAGAUUGUCACCUUUCUGUCCUUUUUCUUUACAUAAUUUUUUUGAAAGUUUUGGUUAUGUUAGAGUUGUUCUAAGGUAAACCACUUGGGCUUAGCUUAAGUGGUUAGAAUAACUCCCUCACAAAUGUGAGGGAGGGAGUUCGAGCCUCCGCAGACGUAUUGUAGGGGUUUAAUUUAAAAUGUUCUUCUUUGGAGCGCAGAGCUUGAGUGAAGACAGUCUUUCUCUCAGGAUGGGAGUUUGACGUCCCUCGAAUAUUUGAGAGGGUUAAAAAAAAAAUCUGAGCGGUGCCAUAUCAGCAUUAAUGUCAACAGGACUCAGUAUAUAUAUAUAAUUGUACAUAUCAGUUAUACUCUCAUGUGAUAUGAGUUGUAAUUUGAAUUAUAAUUUGAGCAAUAGUCUCAUGCCAUCAAAAAAAAAAAAAGAGUUGUUCUAAGGUAGAACACUCAUUCAUAACCACACGAUCAAAAU